rnacentral:lncRNA from 1 species
CAGCCCUGUAGGAGACACCUCCAGAGAAAGUAACAGCUCUCAAUUGAUUAGCUGAGGAAGACACCAGACAAAUGAGUUACACUGUUUUGGACUCCCCAACACAAUCCAGCCACCGGCUGAAUGCCACCAAAUUACCUUCUAGUUAAAGGUUUAUGGAGCAAACGAAUCACCUAUUCAAUAUCUGCUUGAAUUUCUGACUCAAAAUACAUCAGGUAUGUACUGUGUGACUUAAAUAUUGAGUUUAUUUUUAUCAAAUACCUGUCAAGAAAGAAAGUCAAUUCUGAAACAGCAGAAGCUCAAAGUUCUACAGAUGGCUUUCAAAGGAAUUUGAAUUAGACAUCAUUUGAUGUUGCAAAAAACAAUGACAUCUUUUAUAGCUCUAAACAUCAGUUUUUAAAUUAGAGAUUGAUCUAUAAAGGAGCUAAGUUUGCAUAAUCAUUAUUCAUUUUAAGAUAAUAAUAUAUGAUAGGUACUAAAUUAUAUAGUAGUUUUGUGUAGAGAUUUAUACAUAUUUUCUGAUUGCCAUCAUCACAUCAUCUAAUUAUUUAGAAAUUUCAUUUUCAGAAUCUUGGAUUUUGGACAUAGAGCUUUAAAAAAUAUUGUACUUUAUUUUGAGAUGAAAAUGUGGUCAUUCACAUUUUCACAGACCUGCGUGGAGCAAUCUGCAGGGUGGGGGUGAGAUUUGGGAGUAGAGGGGAGGUGGUAAUAGACACACACAAAACUUGUUAAUUGCUAUACAAGAAGCAUGUGCUUUAAAAAUGACAAUAAACAAUCACAAAACCAGUU